rnacentral:siRNA from 1 species
UGACUAUUCUCAUCCAGCGCGUGA